UACGUAGGGUGCAAGCGUUAAUCGGAAUUACUGGGCGUAAAGCGUGCGCAGGCGGUGAUGUAAGACAGUUGUGAAAUCCCUCGGCCUAACCGAGGAACUGCGCCCGAUACUGCGAUGCUUGAGGAUCAGAGGGGUGCAUGGAAUUUCCGGUGGAGCGGUGAAAUGCGUUGAUAUCGGAAGGAACAUCAGUGGCGAAAGCGACUUCCUGGACCAAUACUGACGCUCAUGUGCGAAAGCGUGGGGAGCAAACAGG
rnacentral:rRNA from 1 species